rnacentral:rRNA from 1 species
UUCGGUGGCCAUGGCGAGGGGGUUACACCUGUUCCCAUCCCGAACACAGAAGUUAAGCCCCUCAGCGCCGAUGGUACUGCACUGGAGACGGUGUGGGAGAGUAGGACGCCGCCGGAU